rnacentral:guide_RNA from 1 species
AAAUAAAUAUGUGUAGAGUUUUUCAGUGAAGGUAUAUGUAAAU